UUAUCAGAGGUGGCAGGUGUGGUGAAGUCCUUGGAGACAGGUUUGCACCGGUGGUCAGGAUAAAGAUGAGUCUGUGACGGUAGAAGUGACAUUUUUGGAGAAAGUGGACCCCUGCAUUUUGGCUGAUCCAUUUGUGAUUUCAGGAAAGCCAGAAGCCAACAGGACCCUGAACAGCUUCUACCCUCAAGCUAUAAGACUGAGAAAUAGCUACCUGGAAUAUCUGCAUUGACCUUUUUUGCACUAACCUCUUUUGACUCAUCACAUAAACUGCUGUUUAUUAUCUACCUCAACCCCUGCACAUCAUCACUAGUGCAGUAGUGAGUGCAUUAAUUUUCUUAUUUGUUCAUACUUGUCCCCCAUGGGAUUUGAACCGACAACCCUGGCAUUGCAAGUUCCAUGCUCUACCAACUGAACCACUCAGGACAGAAAUUAUAACUUGUGUUAUUAUUUUCCUAUUUAUUCCUUGUGUUAUUUUUCUAUUUUUCCUCUCUGCAUUAUUGGGAAGGGCCUAUAAGUAAACAUUUCACUGUUAGUCAACACGUGUUCAUUAUGAAGCAAGUGACAAAUACAAUUUGAUUUGAUUUAACAAGUGAAGUAAUAAGGGAUCAUAACUUUCACCUCGAUUCACCUAUCAGUCUAUGUCAUGGAAAGUGCAGAUGUUCCUAAUGUUCUGUACACUCAGUGUACGUCAAAGUGCUUCUAUAGCUAUAUACACCAUGAUACUGCCUAUUUAAUUUAUUCAUUUAGCAAACAUAAAGCUCAUAAUCCAGUGUCUUUUUCACAGUCAACACACCCAUAUUUCAGCUUUAAUUAGCUUUAAAACAGCAACAUUUUCUCUCAGCAUCAUUGCAAAAAUAUUUUGAAUAGCAUGAUAUUAGCUACAUCUUUCUCUUUACCCCGUGACAAAAUGUGUAAAAUGAGAGAGAUAUAUAUAUAUGGGGCCCAACCAAAUUUCUGCAAGCCCACCUACCAACGAAUUUCUAACUAUGCCACUGAUUACUAACCUCCAUUCUCCUUCGUUAAGUCGGUUUCAAGGCUACCCCUGUCGGCUGCUCCUGAUCUACAGUUUACUACAAACGUCCAGCUUUCAAGAAACUGUAACAAUGCGUCUCUCGAACAUCUCGUUAUGUCAAGGCAGCAUAUCGUAUUUUUGAUCGCUAGAAAUAGCC
ensembl:lncRNA